CGNUGCUUGCGNGUGNGACCNCUUUUUAAAUGCAUNACCUAACUUANAACCUCNUUCGGGAGGGGAUUAGUGGCGAACGGGUGAGUAACACGUGGGCAAUCUGCCCUUCACUCUGGGACAAGCCCUGGAAACGGGGUCUAAUACCGGAUACGACUGCGGGAGGCAUCUCCUGUGGUGGAAAGCUCCGGCGGUGAAGGAUGAGCCCGCGGCCUAUCAGCUUGUUGGUGGGGUAACGGCCCACCAAGGCGACGACGGGUAGCCGGCCUGAGAGGGCGACCGGCCACACUGGGACUGAGACACGGCCCAGACUCCUACGGGAGGCAGCAGUGGGGAAUAUUGCACAAUGGGCGAAAGCCUGAUGCAGCGACGCCGCGUGAGGGAUGACGGCCUUCGGGUUGUAAACCUCUUUCAGCAGGGAAGAAGCGAAAGUGACGGUACCUGCAGAAGAAGCGCCGGCUAACUACGUGCCAGCAGCCGCGGUAAUACGUAGGGCGCAAGCGUUGUCCGGAAUUAUUGGGCGUAAAGAGCUCGUAGGCGGCUUGUCACGUCGGAUGUGAAAGCCCGAGGCUUAACCUCGGGUCUGCAUUCGAUACGGGCUAGCUAGAGUGUGGUAGGGGAGAUCGGAAUUCCUGGUGUAGCGGUGAAAUGCGCAGAUAUCAGGAGGAACACCGGUGGCGAAGGCGGAUCUCUGGGCCAUUACUGACGCUGAGGAGCGAAAGCGUGGGGAGCGAACCAGGAUUAAAUACCCUGGUAGUCCCCCCCGUAAACGUUGGGAACCUANGUGUUUGGCGACAUUCCACGUUNGUCGGUGCCCNCAACUNACCCAUUAAGUUNCCCNCCUGGGNAUUCCGCCCCAAGGNUAAACUNAAAGGAAUUGACGCGGCCCCNCNCANCGGNGAAA
rnacentral:rRNA from 1 species